rnacentral:rRNA from 1 species
UUAAAUUUUAGGUUUUGGGUUCUUUUCGGGGUUAAGGGGUAACGGAACGGUAGUUUACGUUUUUACCGUUUAAAAAGUUAAAAAAGUUAAGGUAGGUUUUUAAAGGUUUAAACGAACGAAGUCCUACCCGUUCGUUAAGUAAACUAACUUAAGUACGACUAGGUAAGGAAAAUUAAGUAAAUAAAAGGUAACGGGUACGUUUAGUUACUGUUUUGGUCGUUUCUAGGAUCGACGUAAUGAUUAAUAGGGAUAGUUGGGGGCAUUAGUAUUCAAUUGUCAGAGGUGAAAUUCUUGGAUUUAUUGAAGACUAACUACUGCGAAAGCAUUUGCCAAGGAUGUUUUCAUUAAUCAAGAACGAAAGUUAGGGGAUCGAAGACGAUCAGAUACCGUCGUAGUCUUAACCAUAAACUAUGCCGACUAGGGAUCGGAUGAUGUUAAUUUUUAAUGACUC